CUAUUAAUAGGGCAUGGAGUUCGCCCUACACAAGAACCGCCCAAAGACGGGCUGAUGACUCCUACGGUGGC
rnacentral:ncRNA from 1 species